rnacentral:rRNA from 1 species
AUUGAACGCUGGCGGAAUGCUUUACACAUGCAAGUCGAACGGCAGCACGGACUUCGGUCUGGUGGCGAGUGGCGAACGGGUGAGUAAUAUAUCGGAACGUGCCCAGUCGUGGGGGAUAACGUAGUGAAAAUUACGCUAAUACCGCAUACGAUCUAUGGAUGAAAGCGGGGGAUCGCAAGACCUCGCGCGAUUGGAGCGGCCGAUACCAGAUUAGGUAGUUGGUGGGGUAAAGGCUCACCAAGCCGACGAUCUGUAGCUGGUCUGAGAGGACGACCAGCAAUACUGGAACGGAGACCCGGUCCAGACUCCUACGGGAGGCAGCAGUGGGGAAUUUUGGACAAUGGACGCAAGUCUGAUCCAGCCAUUCCGCGUGCAGGACGAAGGCCUUCGGGUUGUAAACUGCUUUUGUACAGAACGAAAAGGUCUCUAUUAAUACGAGGGGCUCAUGACGGUACUGUAAGAAUAAGCACCGGCUAACUACGUGCCAGCAGCCGCGGUAA